AAACCACCCAUUGUGAAACCACCCAUUGUGAAACCACCGAUCGUGAAACCACCUAUUGUGAAACCACCCAUUGUGAAACCACCCAUUGUGAAACCACCUAUUGUGAAACCACCCAUUGUGAAACCACCCAUUGUAAAACCACCAAUUGUGAAACCACCCAUUGUAAAACCACCAAUUGUGAAACCACCCAUUGUAAAACCACCAAUUGUGAAACCACCCAUCGUGAAACCACCAAUUGUGAACCCACCGAUUGUGAAACCACCACCACAUGUUCCACUACCUCCAACUGUACCACCAACACCAACACCACCAGUGAUAACUCCACCAACACCAACACCACCUAUUGUGACACCACCAACACCAACACCACCAGUGAUUACACCACCAACACCACCAGUGGUUACUCCACCAACACCAACACCACCAGUGGUAACUCCACCAAUACCAACACCACCAGUGGCAACUCCACCAACACCAACACCACCAGUGGUUACUCCACCAACACCAACAC
rnacentral:lncRNA from 1 species